UUUGUAGAAUAAAAUGAAUUAAG
rnacentral:piRNA from 1 species